rnacentral:rRNA from 1 species
AACGUAGGGUGCGAGCGUUGUCCGGAAUUAUUGGGCGUAAAGAGCUUGUAGGCGGUUUGUCGCGUCUGCUGUGAAAUUUCGGGGCUCAACCCCGAACUUGCAGUGGGUACGGGCAGACUAGAGUGUGGUAGGGGAGACUGGAAUUCCUGGUGUAGCGGUGAAAUGCGCAGAUAUCAGGAGGAACACCGAUGGCGAAGGCAGGUCUCUGGGCCAUAACUGACGCUGAGAAGCGAAAGCAUGGGGAGCGAACAGG